GCAGACACUUAUCAAAAUGAGAUCAAUAUGUUACAUAGAUAUUUUCAUGUAACCCAUGACGUUUAUGAAAAUAGAGAAUACUAAUAUAUGGCAUACAUGAUGCUUAACUAUUUUCCUUGUGUAUAUGUGGUAUUCAGUCUGAACUAGUCAUUGUUGUGAAUCAGUAAUUCAUCGUGGUUGAAUUCACAAUGAAACCCUGUUAAUCCAGUCUUUUCUGUACCCACUUAAUAUAUAUUGAUUAGUAGAUUUUGUAUGGAUGAAUGAAUCAUCUUUGUUGUUUGACUAUGAAUGUGGAAUAUUUCAGUUUCAAUAUGGUGGUCUUUAUAUAAUGGAGUCUGGACCACACAAUCCUGUGACUAACAGCAUGACCAUCCAUCUGUUGAAUUGGGAUACGAUGACAUGCUAUUGGUGAGCUUGUCCAGCUGAUCCUGUUAGUCAUGACAAGCAUGGGUGACUGACCAGAUCCAACCUGGAUCAUGACAGGAUGAGUGAAUCAUGUCUUUUGUAUAUAUACAUGUGUGAAGCAGUACCGGACCAAGAUUGUCCAGAAAGCAGGGUUUCCAGAUUGUCAGGGUCCGGGCUAACAGGGUUUCACUAUUCUUGCUUAGCUUGGUGCUACUUGCAUAUCAAAUAAUGAUGCUUAUUACGUGGAGCUUUAAUGUACAGAACUAUAUUUUGUAUGUUUGUAUUUGCUGACCUCAAACUGUGAAACCUCUUUAAAGUGGACAUAUGUCAAUACAAACUCUAUGUGAGGUGGAUGUUUGGUUUAACCAAACAUGGAAGUGACUGGGGUAAUUCCUUCUAUGUUUCAGUGUCUGAUUUACUGCUGGAAUAUUGCUGUUUGGUUUUCCAAGGUUUCUGGGGCACUCAUGUCCAGAUUAAUGAGGUUUCACAGUGUGUUAUCCCUUUUGUAUUUCUAGAAGUUAUCACCAUGGUGCAUAAAAGGGGAAGUUUUACGCGAAAAUCAACCUUUUUGUGUUGUUUUGAUUCAAACGCUUAAAUAAAUGAUUUUUGAGUGUGGACUUCCCCUUUUGACAAGUGUGUAGCUAGACUUUGCUGGGCUAUACUGUUUUGUUGUUUUGCCUAACUAGAAAAGCUGUAAUAAUGCUCCCUUGUAUGCCAGAUGUCAGCAGUAUCGUGAUGAAUUGUUAACUGUACUGGCAAAUAUCAUACAGGAUUGUAUUUCUCCACAACGGUUCUGAAUGGUUCAAGAGAUGUUUGGCAUAAUGUCACCAUCACCAUAAUACACUCAAUAUCACAACCUGUUUAGAAGUUUGUAGAUCAUAGCUCCUGUCUUCCUUGAGAGGUAUAAGUAUUAUGGGAUUAAACUGGCCUUCAGAUGGACCCUGUAGGCUGAAAUUAUCAACUUUCAGAAUAUUGCAGUUCACAGAAAUAUGUGACAAUUUGAAACUGUAUGAUUAAUUUCAACUGGGGGAGCUUACCGUAUUUCCUCCAAUUGACACACAUACUUCUCAAGACACCAAAGUGGAACAAUAAAUGCCAGGGUGUGAUUGUGAGUCAUAAAUGUGUGAAAACAUGGUGAGACUUCCUCUAAUAGACAUUUUUAUGUGUCUGAGAGGACAUUUAGCAACACAAAGAGGAGCGAGUCGUCUUCACCCCUGUUCACUGAUUCCAGUAUCAAAAUUUUAUGUCCUGCAGAAUUUGUAGACUUUGAUGGUGUAGCCUAGAGGUAAAAGUGCUUGCUCAGUGCCAAAAAUCUGGGUUUGUUUCCCCACAUGAUUACAAUAUGUGCAGACCAUUUCUGGUGUCCUUUGCCGCGAUAUUGCUGAAAUAUUGCUAAAAGCGGUGUAUAAUGGCGUCACCGCCAAGUUAUUUGUAUGUAUAAUUUGUUAAUGUCUAUUUUGAUACAGCCUCACUUUCCUUGCACCAAAGAAGAUACCGGUACUUACAUUACAGGCAUAUAUUUGUGCCCCUUUCUCAGAUAUAUUCCUGACACAGACUUGUUGUGUAAAAUUACGGAUUAAAUACAUUUUAUAUGAUUAUUGUUGUGAGAAAGUUUGACAUGACAGAUGGUCAGUUGUCUCUGUUAUACAGGAUUUCUUGAUCAACCUAUUAAAUGUAAAAUCAAAUAUUUCUAAUAAUUUGCCCAUAAUAUGGUCUCAGCUGAUCUACCAAAGUUUUGGAAGGUUUACACAGUAGACACACAGCACUGCCUUCCUGUAUUCAUUAUAUUACACCAAGUUCUCCAUGUCAGAACUUGACAACUGACAGUUUUAAAUUAAACAAAAAGCAACAACUACAUUAAAAUCAAGGCAUCAACCUUACUUCGUUAAUACAUCUCAUGUUCGGGGCGGUGGGGUAGCCCAGUGGUUAAAGCGUUGGCUCGUCACGCCGAAGACCCGGGUUCGAUAGCCCACAUGGGUACAAUGUGUGAAGCCCAUUUCUGGUGUUCCCCGCCAUGAUGUUGCUGGAAUAUUGCUAAAAGCGGCGUAAAACCAAACUCAGUCAGUCAUCUCAUGUUCCUGGGUUCCAAACAAAAGAAAAAAAAAGCUGGGGAUAUACUGAGGUAAACAAAUAAGCUGGUGAUGGAAACUGGAAAAUAUUAAAGGAACACGUGAAUUUUGCCCUGUGUUCCUUUAUUUAUUUCUCUCAGUAUAUUUCCAUAAAGCUGUGUGCUGUGUUCACACACAAAAAUGACCCAAAAAUAUUCAUGACCGCAACAUUUUUUGAUCAGUAUAUGUAUAUCAUAUGGGUGAAUGAUACUUUGAAAUGAUAAAUCCAAAACCAUUUGAAAAGGACUUACUGUUAUUGUUUAGGAUUUGUUUCCAGAUUUAUUCCAUCGGAACAUGACUGUUUUCUCUGUAGUUCCAUGUGUUGUUGAUUAUCUAGAGUUAAGGUUGCUUGUUUGAUGUUGAGAAACACCAGUGUUCUGUGUCCGCUACAUGUUGCCUCUUUGUAGCCCAAUUCUCAUUUUCUGGCAUAUUUUGACCAAUGUUGAUCUAUUUUUCACCAAAUGAAUAAAAGAUAUGAAUAUACA